rnacentral:rRNA from 1 species
UACGGAGGGGGCAAGCGUUGUUCGGAGUCACUGGGCGUAAAGGGCGCGUAGGCGGCCACCGCAAGUCGACUGUGAAAUCUCCGGGCUUAACCCGGAAAGGUCAGCCGAUACUGCGGGGCUAGAGUGCAGAAGGGGCAACUGGAAUUCUCGGUGUAGCGGUGAAAUGCGUAGAUAUCGAGAGGAACACCUGCGGCGAAGGCGGGUUGCUGGGCUGACACUGACGCUGAUGCGCGAAAGCUAGGGGAGCGAACGGG